rnacentral:lncRNA from 1 species
CCAAAGGGGUGGAGCCUGCCUGCACCUCUGCUAGACCCCAUUUAAGGGCUGACUGCUACUGAGGAAGGAUAUUUUCCUGGAGGUUGCUCCCUUUGGAGUUUUUCUGUGAGCCUACAACAUGGUGGUUUCCAGGAUCAGUUGCUCCAACACCUUUGCAGAGACUGAUGUGCAGUGGACUGAACUGUAGAUCCCUGGAUCUUCCCUCUUGCCUUUGAAAUUAUAUUUGGUUUCUAUGAAGACAGAGCAGGAAUUAUGCUGGACCUGUAGGCCUUUAUGACCCAACCAAUGGAUUCUUCCAGAUUGUCAUCUUGAAUGAGUUUUAGGAACUACAUCGGUAAAACUGACUUUAAAUUCCAUAAUAUAACAGUUCUGUCAGAACUUCAGUAGUAUAUGUAGCUGCUAAACAAUAGGGAUAUCUUACUUCUAAUGAAGAUAAUGUAAUGGAGAGUUUGUUGCUUCAUUUCAUACUUACGUGUUGGCUCUCAAUAUCAGCAAUUUGGCUAAGACUGAAGACUUUAUUAGUGAUACUGUACAGCAUGAACUAUCUGGAGGCUAUAGAAUAAAAGCACUUAUGAAGGAACACACAAAAGGAAAGAAGCAGAACACUAGAGAAAUAUCUGGGUACAAUUGGAAAGAUAAAAGAAGGCCAUCAAAGACUAGCAAGGAGUUCAGUACCAGUGAGAUGCAAUCUGGUGGCAGGUUUUAUUUAUGUGCUUGUGGGAAGAUUCAGAAAGAGGAAAAUAAGCAGAAAAUAGAAUUGUCAUCUUCUAGUGACCACCAGGCUAGAUCAGAAUAAUAACAUACCCUGGAUCAACUCAUCUAGUACUCAAAACCACAUAGUUCUUUUGCUAUGAGGCGAUUCCAACUAUGCAGACAUCUGCUGGGUAACAAGCAUUCAAACUUGGUUCAUGAGAGUGUAAUUGUACUGUUAAAAAUCAUUAUGUGAGAAUGACAUUUAGGACCUCCAUGUUGGUUCUCAAAGAUCACUCUAUCAGGUUAUUUCAGCUCACUAGCUAAAAGAUGCUUCUUUAACAUCAGCCCACAUGCAUAACUUUAUUUCCUCAAGAUAGUGUGAGUUUUUUGCUUAUCGGACUUCUCCAUGACACUCUUCUACCUGAUACCUUGGCAUCCUGAACUGUGGACAAUUCUAUGUGAUCAGAAAGCA